rnacentral:rRNA from 1 species
GACGAACGCUGGCGGCGUGCUUAACACAUGCAAGUCGAACGGAAAGGCCCUGCUUUUGUGGGGUGCUCGAGUGGCGAACGGGUGAGUAACACGUGAGUAACCUGCCCUUGACUUUGGGAUAACUUCAGGAAACUGGGGCUAAUACCGGAUAGGAGCUCCUGCUGCAUGGUGGGGGUUGGAAAGUUUCGGCGGUUGGGGAUGGACUCGCGGCUUAUCAGCUUGUUGGUGGGGUAGUGGCUUACCAAGGCUUUGACGGGUAGCCGGCCUGAGAGGGUGACCGGCCACAUUGGGACUGAGAUACGGCCCAGACUCCUACGGGAGGCAGCAGUGGGGAAUAUUGCACAAUGGGCGGAAGCCUGAUGCAGCAACGCCGCGUGCGGGAUGACGGCCUUCGGGUUGUAAACCGCUUUCGCCUGUGACGAAGCGUGAGUGACGGUAAUGGGUAAAGAAGCACCGGCUAACUACGUGCCAGCAGCCGCGGUGAUACGUAGGGUGCGAGCGUUGUCCGGAUUUAUUGGGCGUAAAGGGCUCGUAGGUGGUUGAUCGCGUCGGAAGUGUAAUCUUGGGGCUUAACCCUGAGCGUGCUUUCGAUACGGGUUGACUUGAGGAAGGUAGGGGAGAAUGGAAUUCCUGGUGGAGCGGUGGAAUGCGCAGAUAUCAGGAGGAACACCAGUGGCGAAGGCGGUUCUCUGGGCCUUUCCUGACGCUGAGGAGCGAAAGCGUGGGGAGCGAACAGGCUUAGAUACCCUGGUAGUCCACGCUGUAAACGGUGGGUACUAGGUGUGGGGUCCAUUCCACGGGUUCCGUGCCGUAGCUAACGCUUUAAGUACCCCGCCUGGGGAGUACGGCCGCAAGGCUAAAACUCAAAGGAAUUGACGGGGCCCCGCACAAGCGGCGGAGCAUGCGGAUUAAUUCGAUGCAACGCGUAGAACCUUACCUGGGUUUGACAUGGAUCGGGAGUGCUCAGAGAUGGGUGUGCCUCUUUUGGGGUCGGUUCACAGGUGGUGCAUGGCUGUCGUCAGCUCGUGUCGUGAGAUGUUGGGUUAAGUCCCGCAACGAGCGCAACCCUUGUUCACUGUUGCCAGCACGUUAUGGUGGGGACUCAGUGGAGACCGCCGGGGUCAACUCGGAGGAAGGUGGGGAUGACGUCAAGCCAUCAUGCCCCUUAUGUCCAGGGCUUCACGCAUGCUACAAUGGCUGGUACAGAGAGUGGCGAGCCUGUGAGGGUGAGCGAAUCUCGGAAAGCCGGUCUCAGUUCGGAUUGGGGUCUGCAACUCGACCUCAUGAAGUCGGAGUCGCUAGUAAUCGCAGAUCAGCAACGCUGCGGUGAAUACGUUCCCGGG